rnacentral:ribozyme from 1 species
AAAGUCGCACAGUCGCCUCUUUCUUCUGUUCUUCUCUUUCUUUUCUUUCUUUUCUUUCUUCUUCUUCUUCC